GACGAACGCUGGCGGCGUGCCUAAUACAUGCAAGUAGAACGCUGAAGGAGGAGCUUGCUUCUCCGGAUGAGUUGCGAACGGGUGAGUAACGCGUAGGUAACCUGCCUAGUAGCGGGGGAUAACUAUUGGAAACGAUAGCUAGUACCGCAUAACAGUAGAUGUUGCAUGACAUUUGCUUAAAAGGUGCAAUUGCAUCACUACCAGAUGGACCUGCGUUGUAUUAGCUAGUUGGUGAGGUAACGGCUCACCAAGGCGACGAUACAUAGCCGACCUGAGAGGGUGAUCGGCCACACUGGGACUGAGACACGGCCCAGACUCCUACGGGAGGCAGCAGUAGGGAAUCUUCGGCAAUGGACGGAAGUCUGACCGAGCAACGCCGCGUGAGUGAAGAAGGUUUUCGGAUCGUAAAGCUCUGUUGUAAGAGAAGAACGAGUGUGAGAGUGGAAAGUUCACACUGUGACGGUAUCUUACCAGAAAGGGACGGCUAACUACGUG
rnacentral:rRNA from 1 species